CCAAUAGCGUAUAUUAAAGUUGUUGCAGUUAAAAAGCUCGUAGUUGAAUUUCGAGAUCAAAUUGUUGGUCGUGCCUUGGUACGCACUGGCAUUAUUGGUUUCUCCCUUCUGACGAACCAUGAUGUCAUUAAUUUGGUGUCAUGGGAAAUCAGGACUGUUACUUUGAAAAAAUUAGAGUGUUUAAAGCAGGCUCGCGCUUG
rnacentral:rRNA from 1 species